CAGUAGCCACGGGAAUACGAAGGGUGCAAGCGUUAAUCGGAAUUACUGGGCGUAAAGCGUGCGUAGGCGGUUUGUUAAGUCUGCUGUGAAAUCCCCGGGCUCAACCUGGGAAUGGCAGUGGAUACUGGCAAGCUAGAGUGUGUCAGAGGAUGGUGGAAUUCCCGGUGUAGCGGUGAAGUGCGUAGAGAUCGGAAGGAACAUCUGUGGCGAAGGCGACUAUCUGGGCCAACACUGACACUGAGGCACGAAAGCGUGGGGAGCAAACAGGAUUAGAUACCCCCGUAGUCCCUGUCUCUUAUAC
rnacentral:rRNA from 1 species